rnacentral:rRNA from 1 species
UGGGGAAUCUUGCGCAAUGGUCGAAAGACUGACGCAGCGACGCCGCGUGCGGGAGGAAGCUCUUCGGGGUGUAAACCGCUGUUGCCCGGAACGAAACUCAGGAUUCGUCCUGAUUGACGGUACCGGGUGAGGAAGCGCCGGCUAACUCUGUGCCAGCAGCCGCGGUAAUACAGAGGGCGCGAGCGUUGUCCGGAAUCACUGGGCGUAAAGGGCGCGUAGGUGGCCACCAUAAGGCCGCGGUGAAAGUUCGGGGCUCAACCCCGGAUCGGCCGCGGCGACUGUGGGGCUCGGGUACUGUAGAGGCAGAUGGAAUUCCGGGUGUAGCGGUGGAAUGCGUAGAGAUCCGGAAGAACACCAGUGGCGAAGGCGGUCUGCUGGGCAGUGGGAUCGGAAGGUCCCUUCAACCGACACUGAGGCGCGACAGCGUGGGGAGCAAACAGGAUUAGAUACCCCCGUAGUCC